CGGGGGGGGCAAGCGUUGUUCGGAAUUACUGGGCGUAAAGGGCUCGUAGGCGGCCAACUAAGUCAGACGUGAAAUCCCCAGGCUCAACCUGGGAACUGCGUCUGAUACUGGAUGGCUUGAAUCCGGGAGAGGGAUGCAGUAUUCCAGGUGUAGCGGUGAAAUGCGUAGAUAUCUGGAGGAAUACCGGUGGCGAAGGCGGCACCCUGGACCGGCAUUGACGCUGAGGAGCGAAAGCCAGGGGAGCAAACGGGAUUAGAUACCCCGGUAGUCCUGGCCCUAAACGAUGAAUGCUUGGUGUAACGGGUAUCGAUCCCUGUUGUGCCGAAGCUAACGCAUUAAGCAUUCCGCCUGGGGAGUACGGUCGCAAGGCUG
rnacentral:rRNA from 1 species